rnacentral:lncRNA from 1 species
AGUUUGAGUUGUGCAACUGUUCAGCCAAGCCUACAAGAUGUAUAGUGCUGUGGGGGUAACAUGGCCUCCCUACCCAGCCUCGCUUCAGAACUUUCGUACCAAGGCUGGACUGUAGAAAAGUCCUUCCUAUGCCAUGGCACUUUCCCACUGAGGCCUCCCAUGGGUGCCGUUUCCUUUGCUGGAAGGUUCUCCUCGACUCCUGGCAGUCUAUACUCAUUUAAAGGUUUCCGCCUUCUCUAAAGCCUCUCACUGCUGGACUUCACGGUGGAUCAGAUUUCCCUUUUAUAAACAUUCAUAGCAGACUGUACAUUUCUUUCACUGCGUUUACCAAACGAUUUGAUGGCGAAGUGCGUCAGGGCGUGGGCCUUCUCCAUCACUAGCGUUCCUUGCAC